rnacentral:rRNA from 1 species
AUUGAACGCUGGCGGCAGGCUUAACACAUGCAAGUCGAACGAGUGGCGGACGGGUGAGUAAUGCUUGGGAAUCUAGCUUAUGGAGGGGGAUAACUACGGGAAACUGUAGCUAAUACCGCGUACCAUAGGAUGAACCCAUAUGGGAUUAGCUAGUAGGUGGGGUAAAGGCUCACCUAGGCGACGAUCUCUAGUUGGUCUGAGAGGAUGAUCAGCCACACUGGGACUGAGACACGGCCCAUACUCCUACGGGAGGCAGCAGUGGGGAAUAUUGCACAAUGGGCGCAAGCUGAUGCAGCCAUGCCGCGUGAAUGAAGAAGGCCUUCGGGUUGUAAAGUUCUUUCGGUAGCGAGGCGUUAACUACAGAAGAAGCACCGGCUAACUCCGUGCCAGCAGCCGCGGUAAUAC